AAUUAUUAUUUAUAUUUUUAUUUUUUUUUCUUUUCCAGUAUUUAAUAUUGAAUUGAUUCAGGUAUCUAAAUGGUCUCCAUUUUAAAAAUGGGAAACUGAGGUAAUGGAAGUCAUUUACUCAUGCUUUGUGUGGCACUAGGAAGGACUGUCUAUCAGAGUAGGAAAUGGAGAUCCCUUAAAUGUCAGACCAGCCCCAUAACUCUCUCUUUGCUUUUCUAAAAUGUCUUUCAGAAAUGUAUAGCACAAUAUAGAUUUUGUGGAGUUUCCAUAUGACAACGACUUCAGGCCCUGAGGGUGUGAAUUCCCACAAUUUGUAUACAUUCAUUGCCCUUUGAAGUUCAGAGUGCUCUAUCUGUUAUUAAAUCUGGAGAAGAGAAAAUGUCAAGCCAACAUACUUGUAAUAAUAUUUUGGAUUUCCUACUUUAAUUGUUUAACAAAAUUAAUAUGAACAUUUUAGCUAUGAAGUUGGACAGCUGCAGCAGGAUGUGAUUUAAUUGGUGCUUCUUCUUUCAACACAUUCUGGCAACCUUUACAAUAUGCAAGUGUUAUAAAAUUCCCAUUUAUCUGUCAUGCAGCUUUCCCACACUUCCCUUAUUUCCAGUUAUUUAUCCAUUGUUUUUUAAAAGGCUAAGCUCAAAUUGCUCUUCGGUUCUUGGCUAUGAUAAAAUGCAAUUCAAGGCAAAAUCAUUGCAUGCCUUAUUCUGUCUCAUUAAAGAUGCUUGGACUUGUGCAUGAGUGGUGGUUACCCUACAGGCUGCAGAACCAUGUGAUGCAGUGUGUAACCGUACUGCCCCUUUUCCAAUACAUCACAUCUUGCCAUGGCUUGUACUUUAGGAGACUAUUUUUGCAGUUCAGUCUUUUUGCUUGUAGUGUCUGAACUCUGUUCCAAGUAGUUUUAAACAUGUAAGAAAGUGCUAGGAAGUUGCCUGCGUAUUCACGCCAAACUCUCAUUUUCUAGUAAAAACUGUUGUUUUUCUUUUUUUUUUCUGACCUGCUACAUGCAUAUGACAUUUUGUAACAUUUUUCUUUCUUUGAUGUCUAACAGUACAUUUAGGCUGUGGACAUUUGAGCAUUUCCAAAUGAGUCAUCUGAAAGAGCCAUCUGUUUACCAGAGGGGAGAUGUUGGUUUCUACCCCUUGGUGAUGGUGCAGUGUCCAGACUCCCUUAGCUGGGAAGGCUUAGAAAACUUCUGCAGGCCACUUGGUACAGAGUCUAGAAACAGCUUGAAUACUGUGAUAAAUGAUAACUUCAAAACAAAGCCAAAAGGAAGUCAACAACAAAUUGUAUAUGUGAGUGCUGAAUGAAGUAAAGGUUGUAAAGAUUAAAGUAAUUCAUUCUGAGUGACUUUAACAAAAAGGCAGUUUCUAUCAUUACAAAAGAGGAAUACCUAAUAAACUAACCUCCUAAAGAUAAAAGCUGUCA
rnacentral:lncRNA from 1 species